GACUGUAGUUUUAACAAAAUAAUAAGGUGCAAAUUUAUCGAUGGGGAAACUUACCUCCAGUUU
rnacentral:tRNA from 1 species